CGCCCGCGUGAGCGAAGAAGGCCUUCGGGUCGUAAAGCUCUGUUAUUAGGGAAGAACAAGUACCGGAUUCAAUGCCGGUACCUUGACGGUACCCAACCAGAAAGCCACGGCUAACUACGUGCCAGCAGCCGCGGUAAUACGUAGGGGGCAAGCGUUGUCCGGAAUUAUUGGGCGUAAAGCGCGCGCAGGCGGUUCUUUAAGUCUGAUGUGAAAGCCCCCGGCUCAACCGUGGAGGGUCAUUGGAAACUGGGGGACUUGAGUGCAGAAGAGGAGAGUGGAAUUUCACGUGUAGCGGUGAAAUGCGUAGAGAUGUGGAGGAACACCAGUGGCGAAGGCGACUCUCUGGUCUGUAACUGACGCUGAGGCGCGAAAGCGUGGGGAGCGAACAGGAUUAGAUACCCUGGUAGUCCACGCCGUAAACGAUG
rnacentral:rRNA from 1 species